rnacentral:rRNA from 1 species
ACGUAGGGUGCGAGCGUUAAUCGGAAUUACUGGGCGUAAAGCGCGCGUAGGCGGUUUGUUAAGACAGGUGUGAAAGCCCAGGGCUUAACCUUGGAAUUGCGCUUGUGACUGGCAGGCUAGAGUACGGUAGAGGGGUGUGGAAUUUCCUGUGUAGCGGUGAAAUGCGUAGAUAUGGGGAGGAACACCGAUGGCGAAGGCAGCACCCUGGACCGAUACUGACACUCAUGUACGAAAGCGUGGGGAGCAAACAG